rnacentral:rRNA from 1 species
GACGAACGCUGGCGGCGUGCUUAACACAUGCAAGUCGGACGGAAAGGCCCUGCUUGCAGGGUGCUCGAGUGGCGAACGGGUGAGUAACACGUGGGUGAUCUACCCCUUACUUUGGGAUAAGCCUGGGAAACUGGGUCUAAUACUGGAUAGGACCAUGCUGUAGGUGGUGUGGUGGAAAGAUUAGUUUCGGUAAGGGAUGAGCUCGCGGCCUAUCAGCUUGUUGGUGGGGUAAUGGCCUACCAAGGCGUCGACGGGUAGCCGGCCUGAGAGGGUGGACGGCCACAUUGGGACUGAGACACGGCCCAGACUCCUACGGGAGGCAGCAGUGGGGAAUAUUGCACAAUGGGCGCAAGCCUGAUGCAGCGACGCCGCGUGGGGGAUGACGGCCUUCGGGUUGUAAACUCCUUUCAGCCAUGACGAAGCCCUUGUGGUGACGGUAGUGGUAGAAGAAGCACCGGCUAACUACGUG